AACGAACGUUAGCGGCGCGCUUAACACAUGCAAGUCGAACGAGAAAGGGCCUCGGCCCCGGUACAGUGGCGCACGGGUGAGUAACACGUGGGUAACCUUCCCUCGAGCGGGGGAUAACGUUCCGAAAGGAACGCCAAUACCGCAUAAGACCACGGGCUCGAAAGAGCCUGGGGUAAAAGUACGCCUCUGAAUUCACGCUUACACUCGAGGAAGGGCCCGCGGCCCAUCAUGGGAGUUGGUAGGGGAACGGCGUACAAAGCCGAAGACGGGUAGCUGGUCUUGGAGGAUGAUCAGCCACACUGGAACUGAGCCACGGUCCAGACUCCUACGGGAGGCAGCAGUGGGGAAUCUUGCGCAAUGGGCGAAAGCCUGACGCAGCGACGCCGCGUGGGUGAUGAAGGCCUUCGGGUUGUAAAGCUCUGUGGGGAGAGACGAAUAAGACGUGGCUAAUAUCCACGGCGAUGACGGUAUCUCCUUAGCAAGCACCGGUUAACUCUGUGCCAGCAGCCGCGGUAAAAC
rnacentral:rRNA from 1 species